AAGCCGUUGAGGUUGUUGACGCACGGCGUCCACGCCGCGUCGCCCAGGUGCUCCAGGUCGCCGCGGCCGUAGGCCACGAGCCACCAGAUGGCGCCGAAGAAGAGCCAGGGUACGGACGCGGACAAACCUCCCCCUUUGAACCUGCUUCACGGGGUGUGCGGAUCACCCAAGGCAACCCAGAUAGAAGGGCUUUAAAGUGUAUUUUGCUACUAGCGAAAAGUCUGGAAACAACGCAAACGUCCAACGGAGAGAAAAGCCUAGAGCAAGGUCAAAGAGGAGACGAGGCCAAAGUCGGAAGGAAUGAAUCUGAAAGGAGCAAUCGAGAAGACAGUUGGCUACACUGAGAGAAGAGGGGAGAAACACAAAAAUAAAGAAGUCACGAGGGCUGCCAGCCUUGAGGAGGAAGAAGAUAAGUUCGGUUUGGGGCCUGUCCGGGCGGAGUGGAAAUCCCCCGCCAGCAGCUGGAACUGAG